rnacentral:rRNA from 1 species
UACGUAGGGUGCGAGCGUUGUCCGGAAUUAUUGGGCGUAAAGAGCUUGUAGGCGGUUUGUCGCGUCUGCUGUGAAAUUUCGGGGCUCAACCCCCGAACUUGCAGUGGGUACGGGCAGACUAGAGUGUGGUAGGGGAGACUGGAAUUCCUGGUGUAGCGGUGAAAUGCGCAGAUAUCAGGAGGAACACCGAUGGCGAAGGCAGGUCUCUGGGCCAGCUACUGACGCUGAGAAGCGAAAGCAUGGGGAGCGAAGCAGG